AGGGUGUAUAGUUUCUGAUUUUUGAGUUCGGGAGGGUAAAUCGGGCUUGUAUCUAUCAAAUAACUUCGGACAAUUUCGCCUAUUGCCAGAUCUAUUGCCCAGGCUACAGUUCCUUUCUUUUUACACACCACAAUGUGAUUUGAAAAGCCAAACUUUUAAUUUUUAGCCAACUUUUACAUAAAUCGUAUCCAUGUUUUGAAAAGUUAAAUAAAUAAGCCCAUAUUAUAUAGGUCUUUAAAUGCAAUAUUAAUUUUGUAGCAAUUCAUAAUAUAUUUUACGAGAAAUGAGUGGUUCAAGUACGCUCUUGGUAAGUUUUCAAAACCUAAUAUGUCUUGCAUAAAGAAGAAAGGAGCGUUUAUUUGCUAGAUUUUCCC
rnacentral:lncRNA from 1 species